AUGGUUUUCUCACACAGUCUUAUUUUGGGAUUGAUCUUAAUUCAAAUGUUUGUCCACGUCAGGAGUCAGGAUUAUGAUGUAACGGAAAUCCAAUGCACCUUCUCAACAAACAACGCACCG